GAUGAAGAACGCAGCGAAAUGCGAUAAGUAAUGUGAAUUGCAGAAUUCAGUGAAUCAUCGAAUCUUUGAACGCACCUUGCACCCUUUGGCAUUCCGAAGGGUAUGCUCGUUUGAGUGUCAUUGUACUCUCACUCUCCCGAUGCUUUUGGAUCGGGAGUGGUGGACUUGGGUGUUGCUGCUUUGCUGUGGCUCGCCUCAAAUGGAGUAGUGCAACUCUUGGUUGGACAUAGUACGGCGUGAUAAGUGUCUUCGCCGGCGCCUCAUUAUAGAGGGUGGCCGAUCGGGAGCUCUGUGCUUCAAACCGUCUUCGGACAACAUCCGACAACUUGACCUCAAAUCGAGUAGGACUACCCGCUGAACUUAAGCAUAUCAAUAAGCGGAGGA
rnacentral:misc_RNA from 1 species